UCCCUGGAGGUUCAGAUGGUAGAGCGUCUGCCUGCAAUGCAGCAGACCCAGGUUUGAUCCCUGGAUUGGGAA
rnacentral:tRNA from 1 species